CGGAGAGUUUGAUCCUGGCUCAGGACGAACGCUGGCGGCGUGCUUCAUACAUGCAAGUCGAACGAGAAAGCUCCCUUCGGGGAGUGAGUACAGUGGCGAACGGGUGCGUAACACGUGAGCAAUCUGCCUCGAAGCCGGGGAUAACCUUCCUAACGGGGGGCUAAUACCGGAUGUGUUUACCGGAUGGCAUCUUCUGGUGAAUAAAGAUGGCGUGCUGAGCGCUAUCACUUCGAGAUGAGCUCGCGGCCUAUUAGCUUGUUGGUGGGGUAACGGCCCACCAAGGCAACGAUGGGUAGCCGGCCUGAGAGGGUGACCGGCCACAUUGGGACUGAGAUACGGCCCAGACUCCUACGGGAGGCAGCAGUAGGGAAUAUUGCGCAAUGGGCGAAAGCCUGACGCAGCAACGCCGUGUGAGCGAUGAAGGCCUUCGGGUCGUAAAGCUCUGUCAGGUGGGAAGAAACCCAGCCGGUGGAGAAUACCGGUUGGCUGACGGUACCACCAGAGGAAGCUCCGGCUAACUCCGUGCCAGCAGCCGCGGUAAUACGGAGGGAGCAAGCGUUGUUCGGAAUUACUGGGCGUAAAGGGCGCGCAGGCGGUUUGGUAAGUCAGAUGUGAAAUUCACCGGCUCAACCGGUCGAACUGCAUCCGAUACUGCCAGACUUGAGAUCAGUAGAGGAGAGUGGAAUUCCCAGUGUAGCGGUGGAAUGCGUAGAUAUUGGGAAGAACACCGGUGGCGAAGGCGGCUCUCUGGACUGAUUCUGACGCUGAGGCGCGAAAGCUAGGGGAGCAAACAGGAUUAGAUACCCUGGUAGUCCUAGCCGUAAACGAUGGGUACUAGGUGUUGGGGGUUUCC
rnacentral:rRNA from 1 species